UACGAAGGGGGCUAGCGUUGCUCGGAAUUACUGGGCGUAAAGGGCGCGUAGGCGGCUAGUUGAGUCAGAGGUAAAAGCCCAGGGCUCAACCUUGGAACUGCCUUUGAUACUGGCUAUCUUGAGUUCGGGAGAGGUGAGUGGAAUGCCGAGUGUAGAGGUGAGAUUCGUAGAUAUUCGGCGGAACACCAGUGGCGAAGGCGACUCACUGGCCCGAUACUGACGCUGAGGUGCGAAAGCGUGGGGAGCAAACAGG
rnacentral:rRNA from 1 species